UUGGCCUUUAAUAGUUGUUGAUAAGAUCAUUUUUGUGAUAUAAGCAUCACUCAUUUGUUCUAUAACUCUUCAUUGAGUUUCUGCUUUUUGAUUUAGGGAACUGAGUAGCUGGCAAGACAGGGAAGCAUAUAGUUUAGUGGCAGAAGGCAGAGUGAACCAUCAAUAAGUGAACAAUAAGCGCCACACAGAGAAGUAAAACUAAGUAAUGGGAUGAGAAUGAGAAUGGCUGGGGGAGGGGCUUCAGAGAUAGGGAUUGUUAUGUGUUCAACGGUGUCCCACCCAGAAAAUACAUGUUGGUGUCCUAACCCAUGGGACCUCAGGAUGUGACUGUGUUUGGAUAUUGGGUCCUAGCUCGUUAAGAGGAGACCCCACUGCGGUAGAGUGGGUCCAUGGUCCAGUAUGUUGGUGUCCUUAUCAAAGAGAGUCGUGAGGGAACACAGGAGAGUACCACGUGACGCUAAGGCAGAGAUUGAAGGAGCAGGAAGGAUCAUCCCCUGCGGCCUUCAGAGGGAGUGCAGUCCUGCUGACACCUUGAUUCUGGACUUCUGGCUUCCAGAACUAUGAGAGGAUGGAUUUCAGUUGCUUUAAGAGCCCAGGUUUGCAGGACUUUGUGUUGGCAGCCCUAGAAGGCUAAUAGGUGGUCCAAGAACACCUGUCUACAGGUGCAGCAUUUCACCUGGGACUCGACUAAGGAGGGAGGCAGGGAUGCAAGUCAGGGAGUGUCCCGGGUGCUGGGGGACCCCGGCCUUCUGAGUCUCACAAUCAGAAGGUGGGCAAGACAGCUGGAGGGGAGCAGGUAGGGAAGGAGGUGGGAGACGAGGCCAGGAGGGAGAGCAGGGCUUUGUAGGGGGAGGUGAUGUGCUUGGACUUCAUGCCAAGUACCAUGAGAGGCCUGGGAGAGCUUUAAACACAGGUCGCUGCUGACACGGAGCUCAGGCCUUGAUGCCAGCAUCUAAUCCCCACGCACUUGCCGAGCAAGGCCACACGAAAUGCUCCCAAGAAGGACUGUGACUUUAAAACCCUAAAAGGGACAGGUCACAGCACAUUUUUAAAGUUUGUGACAUGACAUUUUCUGUUGCUAUUCAAUAGUUGUAAAAAUGCUUCAUCAGAACUUUUAAAGCAUGCAACAGCCACCACCUAAUGUACACUUCGAUUAAGUCAGUGAAAUUGGCUCCAGACUCAGAAAUCAAAUCAGGAUUCCAAUUUUUGGCAACAUAGUAUCUAUCAUAGUAUUUUAUUUUUGCUAUUGGAUAAUGGAAGUAUUUAUGCUAUUUAUAAAGUAUUAGGUGGUGCAGGUUACAGAAAAAUUUAAAUUCCUAAUUUUUAAGUGCUAAUUUGCAGUCAGUAGCUUUGUUCCAUCUUUUUGUUUAUUUCUUUGGGUAUAUUUUUGUAUUAAGUAGAUAUAGUUUAGUUUCAGACCAUGAUAGAUUCAGGUCACAAUAAUGAAUACAUAAAGAUUCAGAGGAUAAAAUAGUGGCAAAUUGGUCUGUUUCUCUGUGUGCUACAAAGAAUGAACUAAGGAAUCAGAAAGUGCAAGUUCACACUUGAUUCAUGGUCCUCUUGCUGAUCUCUCCGAACCUAUUUCCUCAAUUAAUUAAUUCUUUCCUUAAUUUACCAAGUGUUUGUCCAUUGUUCAGUGCUGAGAGGACCAUACUAUAAGACUGGUGUGAUCCUGUCUUUAAUGUGCAAAGUAGAGAUGGAAUCCAAGCAUUAUUAUUCUAGGCACAGCAUAAUAUGGCAUUCUUUUUUUUUUUUUUUUUUUUUUUUUUUUUUUUUUUUUUUUUUUUUUUGAGAUAGGGUCUCGCUCUUUCACCCAGGCUGGAGUGCAAUGGCACGAUCUCAGCUCACUGCAACCUCCGCCUCCUGGGUUGAAGCGGUUCUCCCGCCUCAGCCUCCUGAGCUGGGAUUACAGGCGUGCGCCACUACGCCUGGCUAUUUUUUGUAUUUUUAGUAGAGAUGGGGUUUCUCCAUGUUGUCCAGGCUGGUCUUCAACUCCUGACCUUGUGAUCCACCUGCCUCGGCCUCCCAAAGUGCUGGGAUUACAUGUGAGCCACCGCACCUGGCCCAUAAUAGGGCAUUCUUAUGCCAAGUAUAGUACCUGGUUUACAAGAGACCAGAAUGAUCCAUUUGCAUGGUUUCUUACUCAGGACGCUAAUUUUAGGUAUUCAAUAGAAAAUUUAGCAAAAUCACACACAGGAAUAAAUGUUAAGUAUAUUUUCCUCCAUUUUUUCUCCUAUAAAUAGACUUUAAAAUUAUGAAGGAAUGAGCCCAUAGACAAUAUCCAUGUCUCCUGAGAGGCAGCUUUGGGUCUGAGGUCAAUCAACUACUUUUGAUUGAAUAGUGUCCUGUCUGGAUUUCUGUUCUUUAUUUACUUUGAAAUUUUGGCAGAACAUAGUCUUAGAAAAGAUUUGGAGCUGCCUCCAGUCUUUAAGGUGGUAAGCUUUAGAGGAGCCUUAGAAAUAUUCCAUUCCAUUAGUUAGAAUAUGAUGAAAAGUACAAACUUUUCUAGUCAUCAUGGUUGUCAUUAUUAACAUGAUUGUCACCAUACUUAUUAAUAUAAUCA
rnacentral:lncRNA from 1 species